UACGUAGGGUGCGAGCGUUAAUCGGAAUUACUGGGCGUAAAGCGUGCGCAGGCGGUUCGUUAAGUUCGAUGUGAAAGCCCCGGGCUCAACCUGGGAAUGGCAAUGGAAACUGGCGGGCUGGAGUAUGGCAGAGGGGGGUGGAAUUCCGCGUGUAGCAGUGAAAUGCGUAGAGAUGCGGAGGAACACCGAUGGCGAAGGCAGCCCCCUGGGCCAAUACUGACGCUCAGGCACGAAAGCGUGGGGAGCAAACAGG
rnacentral:rRNA from 1 species